GCAUCGGUGGUUCAGUGGUAGAAUGCUCGCCUGCCACGCCUUCGGCCAGGGUUCGAUUCCCGGCCGAUGCA
rnacentral:tRNA from 1 species